rnacentral:rRNA from 1 species
AACGCGAAGAACCUUACCCAGGCUUGAACAGCGAGUGACAAACUACGAAAGUGGUCUUCCGCAAGGACACUCGUAGAGGUGCUGCAUGGCUGUCGUCAGCUCGUGUCGUGAGAUGUUGGGUUAAGUCCCGCAACGAGCGCAACCCUUGUCUGCUGUUGCCAUCAGGUUAUGCUGGGCACUCUGCAGAGACUGCCGGUGAUAAACCGGAGGAAGGUGGGGAUGACGUCAAGUCAGCAUGGCCUUUAUGUCUGGGGCUACACACGUGCUACAAUGGCCGAUACAAACCGUCGCGAGCCCGCAAGGGGGAGCUAAUCGGAGAAAGUCGGUCUCAGUUCGGAUUGUCGGCUGCAACUCGCCGGCAUGAAGUUGGAAUCGCUAGUAAUCGCGGAUCAGCACGCCGCGGUGAAUACGUUCCCGGGCCUUGUACACACCGACGCGUA